rnacentral:lncRNA from 1 species
ACCCUUCUCCGGGUGGGGCCCGCGCCCCAGCGCCCCCUGCCGCCACGCCCUCCAUCUGCAACCUCCGAGGCGUCCAUCAGGCCCGCCCCGUCGUGACUCAGUUUCCCCAGAGGUUCCGGAACUGGAUUCCCCCAGCCCACCCUCUGCCCGCCUUCCGCUUUCCUGCCGGCCUCCAAGCCCCUAAGCACUUGGCCGAUCUGCUCCUGGGACGACCCCGCGAUCCCGCCCAGCAGCCCCGUCCUGGCCAGGUGAGGCCCCAGGUGUUCCUGACCCCGGAACAGCCCGAUGGGGUGGUGACCCACUGCUCCCGCGCCCCUCCAGCGCCAUGUGGCCCAAUGAUACCGCCCUGGGGCCGUGUUUCCGGCCCAUCAACAUCACGCUGGAGGAGCGGCGCCUGAUCGCUUCGCCCUGGUUCGCGGCCUCCUUCUGCGCCGUGGGCCUGGCCU